rnacentral:ncRNA from 1 species
UAUGUCUGGGGCUACACACGUGCUACAAUGGCCGGUACAAACCGUCGCAAAACCGCAAGGUGGAGCUAAUCGGAGAAAGCCGGUCUCAGUUCGGAUAGCAGGCUGCAACUCGCCUGCUUGAAGUUGGAAUCGCUAGUAAUCGCGGAUCAGCACGCCGCGGUGAAUACGUUCCCGGGCCUUGUACACACCGCCCGUCACAUCACGAAAGCCGGUUGUACUAGAAGUCGCCACACCAACCCGCAAGGGAGGGAGGCGCCUAAGGUAUGGUCGGUGAUUGGGGUGAAGUCGUAACAAGGUAGCUGUAGGAGAACCUGUGGCUGGAUCACCUCCUUU